ACUAAGAGCGAAUGGUGGAUGCCUUGACUGGUAAAGGCGAUGAAGGACGUACUAGACUGCGAUAAGCUACGGGGAGCUGUCAAGAAGCUUUGAUCCGUAGAUUUCCGAAUGGGGCAACCCAAUGUAUAGAGAUAUACAUUACCUAUAUAGGAGCGAACGAGGGGAAUUGAAACAUCUUAGUACCCUCAGGAAAAGAAAUCAAUAGAGAUUGCGUCAGUAGCGGCGAGCGAAAGCGCAAGAGGGCAAACCCAGUGCUUGCACUGGGGGUUGUAGGACUGCAAUGUGCAAGAGCUGAGUUUAGCAGAACAUUCUGGAAAGUAUAGCCAUAGAGGGUGAUAGUCCCGUAUGCGAAAAACAAAGCUUAGCUAGCAGUAUCCUGAGUAGGGCGGGACACGAGGAAUCCUGUCUGAAUCCGGGUCGACCACGAUCCAACCCUAAAUACUAAUACCAGAUCGAUAGUGCACAAGUACCGUGAGGGAAAGGUGAAAAGAACUGAGGUGAUCAGAGUGAAAUAGAACCUGAAACCAU
rnacentral:rRNA from 1 species